UCCGAUGCUGAUGCCGCCUUUGAGUCC
rnacentral:piRNA from 1 species